GAUUAAAAAGUACUCUCUUAACUGGAGUACCCACAGCCCACUUCACCUCUCAGACCAUGAAGCUCAGACCAUGUGCUGGCUACUACCUUGUGCAACUCUGAUUUCAUGGUGUGUCGUUUGAUAGUCCUUUGGAUUUUAUCCACUCCAAAUAAUUGAAGUACCAGUCAGAUACUCAUUCCGUAUACUGUGUUGAGUACUCUGAUAUCAGAGACAUAUCCUGCCCUCAAACAAGGCAGCCUGGUGAUGAAAAGAUGUAGAUAAUUAUAAUGAAAAAGCAAUUGCAGCAGUGAAAUAUUGAGAAAAGUCAUGAAGGGACAUUUAGGCAGCGUUUUGGAGCUGGUUAGAAUUGUGAAGGCAGAGACAAAGGAGCACUCCAGGUGGAACCGCAUGAACAGAGGCUCUGAGAUAGCCCAACCUAGGAUGUCCAGUUAGUCUGCAUUUUCAGAGAUGUGAAAGAAAUCAGCAGACGAGAAGGAUGGAAAAGUCUGUGAAGUAACCUUGAAUUAGAUGAUGAGGACUUCAAAUCUUACAUCUAUGCAAUGGAAUUCUGUGGCAAGUCACCAGAGAUGCUGACCAUGUUCUGACAGUGGAAGAGAGAACCAGUGGAGAUGUGAACUAGCCAGGAGCCUGGGAGGGCGUACGUCCAUGCCUGCAGUGGAGAAUGCAUACGAACACUGACAAGAGGUCCAGGAGUUACAUUACCAGGACCUACCACAUUGCCUGGCACAUGGUGGCUGCUGGAUGAACACUAGCUGAAUGAAUGCGUGAACACAGAAGCACACAUGGAUUCUAAGACACCGCACACCUGCUUCAGUUGACCCUACUCUUCUAGAAAUCUCAGCUACUCUCAGAGACUUGCCAGGAGCAGGGUACUUACCUGACCCUCUAUACACCUGUCAACAGAGGAAAGAAGUGCUACCUGCCCAGGCUGCCCCUCACAGUAGUUGGCUCCAUC
rnacentral:lncRNA from 1 species